ACAGCUGAUAAGGGGGAUGUUCCCUUAUCUACACAGCACCCAUGGUGGUUUCCAAAGAACCAGAAGAAUUUAAUUUCAUAACACUACUGUUACUGUUCCAGUUGCCCUGGUAGUCAAGCAGCUCCAAGGAAAUGCCCGCUGGGAACAGACAAUGGACUGACUGCUCAGGCAGACAUCGCUGCCUGCCAGGCUUGUCCCAGAGGCUGUCUGAGCCUAGAGAGUGGAGCUGGCUGCCGUGCCUGUCUAGCUGCCUACUUCUGUGACCCACACACUGGUGUGCAGAGGAGCAGUGGCCCUGAUCAGUAUGCACCAGAGAGAGAGAUGGAGUGUCUGCUGUAUCCAGAGAGCUACGUCUGCCCAGAUGGAGCAAACAGGCAGAAAUUGCAUUGUGUUUGAAGUGUCCUGCUGGCUACUUCUGUACUGCUGGAGCAAGCUAUCCUGUCACAUGCCAGUCAGGUACACACAACCCUCUCCAAGGAUAGGAUGCAGAGCCUGACUGCAGAGCCUGCCCUGCAGGGAAAGCUUAUACCUGGAUUAACCCAGCCUGAUGCACACGGUUUGCCAGGUGCCCCCAGAAAGGACUUGGAGUGGCAGAGGUUCCGAGAGCUGGAAGCAGCCCAUGGUUUAAUGCAUGAGAGCAAGAGGCAGCAGAGAGUCGUGGCUGACAGUGAUAAGUGCAGGGCCUGCAGGGUGAUGUCAGGGUAGUAGAUGUUGGGGGGCAUGCGAGAGGGUGGGAGCUGCAGCCCUGUGCGGCAGCUCUGCUAGAAGAGAAAAGCAGCUGGGGCUCAGCCGUGUGCCAAAGGUGCCAAAGUUCGGCAGAAGGAUGUCCCGGGCUUGGGUGGAGAAGAAGGAGCAGAGCCGGUCAGCUGUCCUUGUCUCUGUCUUUGCUUGCCUGAUGCCAUAGGGGGAGUGUGGGCUGUGGUGAUGCAGCAGAGUGAGGGGUUGGGGCAGCCUCCCUUGCAAGGGUGCUUGCAGCCCUGCACGUUUGAAGGGCCUGAGAAUUCUUGGAGGGGAUUAAAACACACUGCAGACUGCGUUAGUGGGAGGUGCUCCAGGAGAAGAAGAGCUGUGUUUUUCCUCUAGCUCCUGCAGAACGGCCUUAAUUCCGGUGUCAGCAGCUCCCCCUGUGUCUCCUCUGCUGUCUCUAAAUCCCUCCAGAGUAGAUCAAGGAAGUCCUGAGUAGCCCCAGCUGGAGUUUAGAGCUGUCCCUAUAAACUGAGUGUGUAGGAGUGGCAGAGCGUGGACUGUGCCUUGCGUGCGGUGUGCUGUUGGCAAAGGCAAUAGGCAGAGCGGCGCUGGGCUGAAGGCGCUGCCCCCGGCCGGGCGCAGAGGCGCUCUCGGUUGUGUUUGCUGCCCCCCUGUGUUUGCUCGUGGGUACUGCAGUUGUGCAGCGGCUGCGGCGUGGCGCCGGUGCUCAGUGCUGCCACCGUGUGUUUGCUUCUCCACACUGCAGUUCCUCAGCCGGGGGGCGGUCCCCCGUUUUCCUGCCUCGUCUCUAAAGGCCGUGCACGAUUGAAGUGGCUGAAAGCUGAGGGGAGGGGAGGAGAGGAGGGGAAGGUGAGAGGUGGGAGGGAGAGCUGAGAACUGGUUUGGAUUUGUAAGUAUUGGAGUGAGGAGUUAAAAGC